AGGAGAGUUUGAUCCUGGCUCAGGAUGAACGCUGGCGGCGUGCUUCAUACAUGCAAGUCGAACGAUAAGGUUCCUUCGGGAAUACAUAAGUGGCGGACGGGUGAGUAAUAUGUAGAGAAUCUACCUUCAAGAGGGGGACAACAGAGGGAAACUCCUGCUAAUACCCCAUAUGCGCGUAGCUGAGAUGCUAUUCGUGAAAACUCCGGUGCUUGAAGAUGAGUCUGCAUCUGAUUAGCUAGUUGGGGGUGUAAUGGACCACCAAGGCGACGAUCAGUAGCUGGUUUGAGAGGAUGAUCAGCCACAAUGGGACUGAGACACGGCCCAUACUCCUACGGGAGGCAGCAGUAGGGAAUUUUGCGCAAUGGGCGAAAGCCUGACGCAGCAACGCCGCGUGAUCGCAGACGCCCUUCGGGGUGUAAAGAUCUGUCAGUAGGGACGAAAAAUGACUGUACCUACAGAGGAAGCACCGGCUAACUCCGUGCCAGCAGCCGCGGUAAUACGGAGGGUGCGAGCGUUGUCCGGAAUCAUUGGGCGUAAAGAGUUCGUAGGUGGUUUGUAAAGUCUGGUGUUAAAGGCAGAGGCUUAACUUCUGUAUGGCACUGGAUACUUGCAGACUAGAAUGCGGUAGAGGUAAAGGGAAUUUCUGGUGUAGCAGUGAAAUGCUUAGAUAUCAGGAAGAACAUCGGUGGCGUAAGCGCUUUACUGGGCCGUAAUUGACGCUGAGGAACGAAAGCCGGGGUAGCAAAUGGGAUUAGAUACCCUGGUAGUCCCCU
rnacentral:rRNA from 1 species